rnacentral:telomerase_RNA from 1 species
ACGCCUCUUCCGCCUCGUGUGCUGGUCCAUAGACUAUGCACCGCUCAGGGUGGCUCGUCUCUACACCGCCCUCAUAACCCUAAAUGCAAGGAGUUGGCGCUCCCCUCGCUGCUCCCCCAUGGCAGUGAGCCUUCUACGGGGCCUUCAGCUUGAGCUUCGCCCCUGCAGCACUCUCUGAGGCUGGCUGCCUCACAGCAGCCAGUCUCAAAGGGUGGCUGCUCAACAGUAAGCCCAUCAGCAUGGGCUGGGACCCAGCACACAACCCAAAUGGAUGUGACCCACACGGCCCCUGGUGCCGAGGGGGGCCGGCAGUGCAGCGCGCGCACAGCGGAGGCUGCAGCAAUGGUUCGGCCAUGUGCCGUGCCCGAGUCCGGGCACUGGAUGGCCGUGUGGGCACUCGCGGGAGAGGUUGCAUAUUG